CCAGAGAUUUUGAUCAUCGACGUAUCUUUGGGGUAUUGUUAUGCAUUGAGUAUUUAAAAUAAAAACAUGAAAUGUAUUUAAAAUGAAGAAUUUGUGUACGGUAAAUGUUUUAUUAAGUUGCUCAUAUUACGUACAUAUGUUUCAAUACAUACAUAUGUUUUUAUUACGAAUUUUAGAUGAUGAUUUACUUUAUUUUUUAUGAAAUUUUAACCUUCAACGAACACCCACCACUGGCAACCCAUUGUUAUUUUUGACGUGACCGCCAUGUUUUUGGUGACAAACAAACCAAAAACUGGCUUCACUUUUGGAACGUGUGUGUUAAAUGAGUGUUACCCGUCCUCUCUUUUUUCCUUGUCUAAGAUUUCAUCAUUUCACUGUUUAUCGUCAUAUUUUGGAUUCAUUUGGAUUUCGUUUGCUGUAUUUUGUGAACUUUAUAAACUUUACCACACUGCAAAGUGAUUAUUUAAGGAAAUUAUUAUUGGAGACACCAGCUGUUUGGAGAAAGAUAUUUAUUAAAGCUGAAAAUAAUUGGGGAUUUAGAUCCAUAUACAAUUCAGUCAGAAUUGAAUUUUACCAUAAAGAGCAUUCCACCAAAUUACUAUUAUAGAUAUUAUAGAUGAAAGCAUACAAAAGCCUUCAGGCACAUAAAUAUUUUACAGCUGGAUUUGUUUUUAAAGUUGGAGUAAAGUUGGAAGUCACAAGCAACAACUUCGUAAGUACCUACAAGAAUAUUGAGGAAAUCCAGCUCCUGGAUACUACUGGGCAAACUAGAAGAUUGAAGAGGACAAAGUCUUUUGAACUAGUUUGAGUGAUAGUGAAAAGCAGAGCAUAAUGCUUGUGUGCAUGUGUAUGUUAGAAUAGUGCGGUUAGAAAAGCAGAGCAUAGUGCUUGUGUGCCUGUUAGAUUAGAUAAGAGACGCUAUGGGUAAGCUCUUCAUUUUAAGGAACAGUAGUAAUUUAGGUUAAAUUAAAAUUGCUCAUUGGUCAGAGUUAUGACCAAAUUGUAAUUCUAAUGAACAAUUCAAUACAAUGAAUCGUCAUCGUAGUGAUGAUUAUGGAAAAAAAUAUAUGACAAGAUUUUGUGCAAUAAAAAUGUUUAUAUUUA